UCAUUUCUUGUGUUUUUAUAGUACUCGAAAUAAGCAUACACAGAGAAUUUCAAAAGCUUUUGAGGUUGGGAUUUAAAUCCCUUAGUGAUUAACAAUGCAAAAAUGAUGAAUUUAAAAAAUUAACCACACAAUAUUGAGAAAUUAAAAAAUAAAAAAUAAAAUACUGAAGAAUAACCUUUUGAAUGGAAAAACCACUACUGUCAACUUACAAAACCUUUGCCUUGUCUAGACCUAUACAACCUUUACAAACUCCUAGUUUUCCUUCCAACUAUGAUAGGCCCACACCGACUUACUUGGUCCUUAAUUUGUCUAUUUGGAGGUUAUUUCAUUCAGGGUGUGCUGCUUGAAGGGAAGAAAGUAGCAGUUAAAAGGUUCUCAAUGAAGUCAUUACAAGGCUUAGAGGAAUUCAAAAACGAGGUCAUACUUAUUGCAAAACUUCAGCAUAGAAAUCUUGUGAGGUAAUUGGGAUGGGGCAUAGAGGGAGAGGAAAAGUUGCUUGUGUAUGAGUUCAUGCCUAGCAAAAGUCUUGAUAGUUUUAUUUUUGGUUUGUUUCUUCCUACCUUUUGUUUCAUAAGCUUGAUAAUAUUUUGGAUUGCUUGUAGAUCGAUUUAUACAGUUCACAUUUACACGCGAUGUCAUAACUUAACAUUAAUAUUGAAUCAGAUUCAGAAAGGUUACUUGAUUGGAAGACUAGCUAUACAGUUAUUAGUGGGAUUGCCAGAGGACUUCAAUAUCUUCAUGAGGACUCCCGUCUUAAAAUCAUUCACAGGGACUUGAAGCCUAGCAAUGUGUUGUUGGACCAUGAUAUGGUUGCCAAAAUAUCAGAUUUUGGAAUGGCGAGGAUCUUUAACGAAAACCAGAAUAUAGCUAACGCCAAAAGAGCUGUAGGAACAUAGCAUGGAGACUCUGGUGUGAAGGAAAAGUGUUGGAGUUUGUGGACAACUCCUUGAUGGAAUAAUGUUGGACAUCAAAAAUUGUAAGGUGCAUACAUAUUGGGCUUUUGUGUGUGCAGGAAAAUCCACAAGAUAGACCCACCAUAUCAACUGUGGUAGUUUUGCUGGGAAGUGAAUCAAUAGUGCCUCCUCAACCAAAGCACCCUACAUUCUCUUUGGAUAGAUUCGUUCAGAUUGAUGAAUUCUCUAUAAAUGAGCUUAGCUUUUCUAGUAUUGUACCACAAUGAACGCAUACAACUAUAUGGUGGGUAAAUAGGCGUGUAAUUUGUCUACUUCUCUUUCAAUGGUUGGAAUUCCUCUAUGCAUGUGCCACAUAAUAUAUAGCAAAUAUGUUUGAGUUUUGGUUGAUCACAUAA